rnacentral:rRNA from 1 species
GAUGAACGCUGGCGGCGUGCCUAAUACAUGCAAGUCGAGCGAACGGACGAGAAGCUUGCUUCUCUGAUGUUAGCGGCGGACGGGUGAGUAACACGUGGAUAACCUACCUAUAAGACUGGGAUAACUUCGGGAAACCGGAGCUAAUACCGGAUAAUAUUUUGAACCGCAUGGUUCAAAAGUGAAAGACGGUCUUGCUGUCACUUAUAGAUGGAUCCGCGCUGCAUUAGCUAGUUGGUAAGGUAACGGCUUACCAAGGCAACGAUGCAUAGCCGACCUGAGAGGGUGAUCGGCCACACUGGAACUGAGACACGGUCCAGACUCCUACGGGAGGCAGCAGUAGGGAAUCUUCCGCAAUGGGCGAAAGCCUGACGGAGCAACGCCGCGUGAGUGAUGAAGGUCUUCGGAUCGUAAAACUCUGUUAUUAGGGAAGAACAUAUGUGUAAGUAACUGUGCACAUCUUGACGGUACCUAAUCAGAAAGCCACGGCUAAGUAGGCGGUUUUGAAAGUCUGAUGUGAAAGCCCACGGCUCAACCGUGGAGGGUCAUUGGAAACUGGAAAAAGUGGCGAAGGCGACUUUCUGGUCUGUAACUGACGCUGAUGUGCGAAAGCGUGGGGAUCAAACAGGAUUAGAUACCCUGGUAGUCCACGCCGUAAACGAUGAGUGCUAAGUGUUAGGGGGUUUCCGCCCCUUAGUGCUGCCCCGCACAAGCGGUGGAGCAUGUGGUUUAAUUCGAAGCAACGCGAAGAACCUUACCAAAUCUUGACAUCCUUUGACAACUCUAGAGAUAGAGCCUUCCCCUUCGGGGGACAAAGUGACAGGUGGUGCAUGGUUGUCGUCAGCUCGUGUCGUGAGAUGUUGGGUUAAGUCCCGCAACGAGCGCAACCCUUAAGCUUAGUUGCCAUCAUUAAGUUGGGCACUCUAAGUUGACUGCCGGUGACAAACCGGAGGAAGGUGGGGAUGACGUCAAAUCAUCAUGCCAAUCGUAGAUCAGCAUGCUACGGUGAAUACGUUCCCGGGUCUUGUACACACCGCCCGUCACACCACGAGAGUUUGUAACACCCGAAGCCGGUGGAGUAACCUUUUAGGAGCUAGCCGUCGAAGGUGGGACAAAUGAUUGCGAUGAAG